AACUGAGCCCAGCAACAUAUGGAAAGAAAUCACUGAAGAACGUCCAGGUUACAUUUCUGGAGUCACAGCACUUGGCUUUACCAGAUAACAGCUGACAAGAUAUAUACACAAGAAUAUUCAUGGCAGCACUGUUCCAUGGCAACCAAAAACAGAAACAACUCAAAGUUCCAGGAGGAGUAAAACAGACAAGCAGAAUGAGCUACAAGAACAGGGCAUCCAACCAAACUCUACUCCCCAGCUAUCCCUGCAGGUUGCAGAGACCACGUGUCUUUGUUCUACUUCUGAAUCUGGUCCACAGCAACCUCCCACAUCAAUCCUCCCGCGACUGUCUCCUUUGCCACCAAGAUGUACACUUGAGGGCAAUCUUGGAAAACACAUGCAAAAGAUGGCCGAGUCCUCCGCAACAUGGAUGUCUUGUAGCGGGCUGUUCCCAACCCGAAGACUUCCAAUCUGGAACCACCCUAGACUGCUACACGAAUGGAAAACUAAUGUCUACAGUGUGAAGGCAGCAUCUAGUGCAUUUUUUGUAUUCUGUGAAUUCUUAGCAAAAAACAAAGAGCUUCAUUUUCUUUA